rnacentral:rRNA from 1 species
UGCCAGCCGCCGCGGUAAUACGGAGGGCGCAAGCGUUGUUCGGAAUUACUGGGCGUAAAGCGCGUGUAGGCGGUUCGGUAAGUCGGGUGUGAAAUCCCGGGGCUCAACCCCGGAACUGCACUCGAAACUGCCGGGCUAGAGUCUCGGAGAGGAAAGCAGAAUUCCCAGUGUAGGGGUGAAAUCCGUAGAUAUUGGGAGGAAUACCAGUAGCGAAGGCGGCUUUCUGGACGAUGACCGACGCUGAGACGCGAAAGCGUGGGGAGCAAACAGGAUUAGAUA